GGAGUGGUUCUCAAAGAGCAGUUCUUGAACCGGCAGCAUCAGGAUCACCAGGGAACUCGAUAGGGAUGCACGUUCUGGCUCUCACCCCAGAUCCACUGACUCAGAAACCCUGGGGGUGGGGCAAUCUGUUUUAACAAGACCACCAGGUGAUUCUGAUGCACAUUGAAGUCUGACAGCCACUGGUGAGAGCAAUGAUAAUAAUAACAGUGACUUCCACAGAUGUUGAUCACCAACUGUGGGCCAGGCCCUUUCACACUUUUCUUAUGUUAUCUUAUUUGGUCCUCACAACAAUCCGUUUUAUCAAUGAGGAAACUAAGACUGAGAAGUUAAAUACAUUCUCAAGGUCACAUGACUAGCUAGUGGUGGAUCCGGGAAACCACGUCUGUCUGACAUCUACGUCCAUUCUCUGGCCACUUUGCCAACUCACCUUCAAGGGUCAACGGUGAUAUUAUCAUAAACAAUUUCAGCAGGGAAUGAAGACAGAAGCCAGAUUGCAGUGGCUUUGAAAGAGAGGAAGUGGGAAAGGGGAAAAACACUUUAUCAACAACUUUGACUUUGAAGGAGAAAAGAGACAUAAAAUGAAAACCAGAAGCCUAAAGACAGCAGCAUGACCCAAAAACUUCCUGGUCUCUCCACCGUGGACAAUCAGGCCACUGGAAAGGGAGAUGAAACUGAAGGCCUCUGCCCUCUGAGAAGAUGAACAGAACUCACCAGAGCACAAAGAAAAUAAAUAUCUACUCCUGGUUGAAGUCUUUUUUCGACUAGAGUCAUGGCCUUCACAGGGAGACAAUCUAUUGACCACUUCCGGAGCUGUGCUGUGGAAAAAGAAGAGACCAGAAAAAGGAAGCCUUGGGGACAUGUUUUGCAUGAAUUAGCAAAGUCCAAUGCUGGAACAUGUAUAUGGUGGUGACUGAGCUUUGGCCAUGCAGGAGAUGGCAGGAGCAACAUAAAGAAGAGAAAGAAGAUGAGGGUAGCUGAAGAGGUUCCGGCAAGGGGAGAGCAAAGGGAGAGGAAGACAGCGGCUGGCAGGGCCAAGGGAGGAGCGUGCUAGAUUCAGUGUCCGCAGCCUGGUCCACUCUCAGCUGCAUGCACCGCACCCACCCCAGGUCUUUUGUUCAUAUUCAAGCAGAGGUGCCAAUGAAAACAAACCAGAGAUGUCUGCACAGAGUUCCUGCCCUAAGAAAAGCCCAGGGCAGAAAGGUGAGUGUGUCCAGUGUAAAGAGUCUCAGAGCUCCUAAUGACUCCAGCCCAGAACUGCAGCAGAAGUUGCCAAGUGAGACCAUCACUGGGGCGAAGCUGAUGGGGCUCCUGAACAAGUCUGUGGA
rnacentral:lncRNA from 1 species